AGUUCGGAUUGUAGUCUGCAACUCGACUACAUGAAGCUGGAAUCGCUAGUAAUCGCGGAUCAGAAUGCCGCGGUGAAUACGUUCCCGGGUCUUGUACACACCGCCCGUCACACCAUGGGAGUCGAUAACGCCCGAAGUCAGUGACCCAACCUGUAAGGAGGGAGCUGCCGAAGGCGGGAUUGAUAACUGGGGUGAAGUCGUAACAAGGUACC
rnacentral:rRNA from 1 species